rnacentral:rRNA from 1 species
GAUGAACGCUAGCGGGAGGCUUAACACAUGCAAGUCGAGCGGUAGGGCAGCAAUGCCUGAGAGCGGCGCACGGGUGCGUAACGCGUAUGCAACCUGCCUUAUACAGGGGAAUAGCCCAUGGAAACGUGGAUUAAUGUCCCAUAGGAUUACGGAUUCGCAUGGAUUUGUGAUUAAAACUGAGGUGGUAUAAGAUGGGCAUGCGUCUGAUUAGGUAGUUGGUAGGGUAAUGGCCUACCAAGCCGACGAUCAGUAGGGGUUCUGAGAGGAUUACCCCCCACACUGGUACUGGGACACGGACCAGACUCCUACGGGAGGCAGCAGUGAGGAAUAUUGGUCAAUGGCCGGAAGGCUGAACCAGCCAUCCCGCGUGCAGGAUGACGGCCCUAUGGGUUGUAAACUGCUUUUGUACCUGAAGAAACCUGUUUACGAGUAGGCAGUUGCCGGUAAGGUAUGAAUAAGCAUCGGCUAACUCCGUGCCAGCAGCCGCAGUAACAC